rnacentral:ncRNA from 2 species
ACAAAAUGAAGAGGUUGCGUUUUUCAAUAGUAGCCGCUGUGAGGUGAAUAAGCACUGGACCAGUGAGUGGAAGGGAAAAACGCCGAAACAGGCUGGAACUUAUUUUUCAGUUUGUUGGGUCAUGGCUUAAGAGGUUAUGGACUGUCGCGGAUUUACCGCGGGGCGCUUCCAACGAG